CUACGGGCCGCUGCAGUCGAGAAUAGUCUACAAUGGACGAAAGUCUGAUAGUGCGACGCCGCGUGGAUGAAGAAGCAUUUCGGUGUGUAAAGUCCUUUUCUGUGUGAGCAAUGUUUUCCAGGUUAAUAGCUUGGAGAAAGCGAUAUUAACGCAGGAAUAAGCUCCGGCUAACUCCGUGCCAGCAGCCGCGGUAACACGGGGGGAGCAAGCGUUGUCCGGAAUUACUAGGCGUAAAGGGUAAGUAGGCGGAAUUGUAAGUCAUAUGUUAAAGGCACCGGCUCAACCGGUGUAUGGCAUUUGAUACUGUAAUUCUAGAGUAAGGUGGGGGAAGACGGAAUUCCUGGUGUAGCGGUGGAAUGCGCAGAUAUCAGGAGGAACACCAGAGGCGCAGGCGGUCUUCUAUACCAUUACUGACGCUCAAUUACGAAGGUGUGGGUAUCAAACAGGAUUAGAUACCCUCGUAGUC
rnacentral:rRNA from 1 species